rnacentral:RNase_P_RNA from 1 species
GCGUUUGUUUGUUCUAUCGCUCCGAAAGUAAUUUCGGGGAGGAAAGUCCGGGCAACACAGAGCACCCUACUUCCUAACGGGAAGGCAUUGCAACAAACAAUGACAGAAAGUGCCGCAGAAAAUAACCGGAUUUAAAUAUCCAAGGGUGAAAACGCGAGGUAAAAGCUCACGACGCGGGCUGGCGACAGUCAGCGGGGGUAAACCUUAGGGGUUGAAAGACCAAAUAUUCCGGGGCUUGAGGGAUGCUCACCCGACCCGGUGGGUAGGUCGAUUGAAGUUAAUAGUGAUAUUAACUCCAGAUAGAUGAUAGAAAUCCUUAACAGGAUACAGAACCCGGCUUACAGAACAGACGCUUUU